UUACGAUGUGUUGCGCCCUCGUUGCGUUUGAUUUCCGUUACUAUUCAGGAAUAUGACUCGAUGGCCUCUUAUUUCGUAAUAAUCGUAGUAAAUUCUGUCAGGAAAGCGCCGUUGGUUCGAAUGAGAAUAUAAUUAGCAAUGCGGAGGAAAUUCAAGUGUCACUGACUGAUUGUUGUACAACUUCUGAUGAGUGACCGUGUGAUGCACCACCCAAUGUUCACAGGCAACACAAUUAUUGAUAAUUUUUUCUUUGGAGAGCACUGCCAGAGCUCCACAAGAUUUGGUAAGGCAAAUGGGGAGUACUGCAGGGCACAACACGGCAACUAAACCUGUAGCCAGAGUGCUUAGGACCUAUAGGCAAUUAUUCAGCCAGAGUAGGCAAUUCUCUCUCAUGUGUGUGUGAUACCGACUAACAAAUUGCACGAAAUCUCGAAUGGGGUAAGCCACGUCAAGUGCACAGCUCGUUGUGAAUUGUGACCAGAACGCGAACCUGGAUCAGCUGUCGGAGUCGUCAGCGUAACUCAACCUGAUUGAACAUAUCAAGCAGAAGCUUAGCAAGAUGAACAGCAGCAAACUGAGCGUCCGGCCAGCUCCGGCCGAGAUCGUG